GUUAGCCUCAUGUUUUAAUUUUUUAUUUACUUGUUUCAGGGAGAGAAAAGUCAGCAUCUCCUGAGAAUCGGCCGUGCUGGGACCUGGGGGACCAACUCAAGCAAACAACUAGCCAGCCUUCCUGACAGCCUUGUACCAUUGUUGUGAAAUACCUUGCAACAAGCUGAAUGUGUGAACCAUGCCUGUGAUCCUAGCACUUGGGAGGGAGAC
rnacentral:lncRNA from 1 species